UUGCAAAACCCUCUUCACAGAGAAUAUUUCACUACUGGGACUAUACUGGAGUACACUGUUUUUGGAAGGUUCUAAGGAGGUUUAUUUACAGGCAAAUAAUCCCAAAGCAAGAACAUAAAGAGUGAUUUCUUCUGUACUAGUGAUGAAUUUGCAGAUUUCUGUGACAUGAGCUGAAGGAAGAGAUGAGAAGCCAUCUUUAUACCUUUAAAAACUUGCAACAACAAGUGCAAUAUCAGGGUACAGUGACUGUGGACAUCCCAAAGACUUGACAGAGGAUUACGGAGUUCCAAGACUGGAACUGCAACUCUAGAGAUGCUACACAGACACAAAGUGACAGCUAAUUCCUGUUCCCAGAGCCUACAGGCCAAAUAGCCUUCCUUAUCUAAUGAUGUGAAGAAUGAAAUAUCACCAUCACCUCUUUAUCAGCCGAAAAACACACACACACAAAGAUUAAAUGAUUCAGCCAAGCACUUAAGAUUCUGCUUUUACUUUUUGGAAGAUUGAAAAUUAAAAAUGUGAAUAAGGUCACAGAGAAAAUCAGACUGACUCAUGAACUGAGCUAAACUUCAGUUUCCUGAGUGUUCAGCCCAUGCUGUAACCACGGCCCUUGCUCUAAUUUAUCUUCCCAGACUUCCCCCUAUUGUGCCCUAAGGGUCCCACUGGACAAUAGUUUCAGUUUGCUAAAAGACCCAGCCAAAGUUCCUUUUGUUGUAAGAAACAGAUCAGGCGAACACUUCCCUCAAAAAGCACGCUGUUACAACUUCAGGUCCCACCAGCACGAGUCUGCAGCCCUGUGCACAGCCCCAGCAGGAUCUAUUUGUGUGUGAAUACGAGGGGAACUGCUCAGAUAGCCAACACAAUGAUGAAAGGACCUGCUGGCAUCCGGUAGCACUCCCAGGAAGCUCAGCUCACCUCCGAACCAAAUGGAAACUAAGUAAAGUUCACCACCUUUUCAGUUCUCUGAAAAUUACUGCAAAACCCUGGGCAGAAAGAGUGGAGCAGGAGAAGCAGCAGCAUCUACCUUUCUAAAUGACCAAAAUGUACAGUUUUACCUAUUGAAGCUCAGGCAAUCCUUCCCAGGCACUAUUUCUAGAUGAGGAACUGAAGCUCAGCUGCAGUACAGCAGGGUUUGUCAGUCUCAGUCCUCCUGCGGGUGGGGAGACGUGUAAUGGCUCAGUUGGAGGAGAAAGGAGGAACUGGGGAUGGGAUUCUUUCUCUGCCACCCUGAUGGGCAGCACUGAGAUAGCAGUAAGCAAACCAUGCCUUGAGCAAAGAGUUUCUUGCAACAGAAGAUGGCCCAAAAAGCAAGGCAACAACGGGACAAAACCAACGCUUCAGUGUUGCGGAGGAGCCCCGCACAGAGACAAGACCUCCCAUUUGUCUUGAUGGUUUCCAUCCAUGUAUUUCUUGUGUACGUCCAAUAUCUGCAAUUGAGCUGGGAUUUGCACUCAUCACUCUUCCCCAUAGCCCCAUGGGCUGAAGUGACGCAGUGCAGCAUACAGAACCUCACACAAAUGAGAGAAAAAUGGGAGCAAAUAAAAGGUCGAUGCAAUACAGAAGGAUUAAUAGAAUUUCCUGUGCUAUUUCCCUUGGACAGCUCUGAGGGCUCAACCCCGUGUCUCAACAUAUCACCACGACUUUCAGUAAGUUUUUAAAAGAAUAAAAUACUCCUUUUCUGUUUUUUUUUUUCCACCUUCCC
ensembl:lncRNA